rnacentral:rRNA from 1 species
GACGAACGCUGGCGGCGUGCUUAACACAUGCAAGUCGAGCGGUAAGGCUCCUUCGGGAGUACACGAGCGGCGAACGGGUGAGUAACACGUGAGCAACCUGCCCUUCUCAUCGGAAUAAGCGUUGGAAACGACGUCUAAUGCCGAAUAUGACCUCCUUUCGCAUGAUCGGAGGUGGAAAGCUCCGGCGGAGAAGGAUGGGCUCGCGGCCUAUCAGCUUGUUGGUGGGGUAACGGCCCACCAAAGCGACGACGGGUAGCCGGCCUGAGAGGGUGACCGGCCACACUGGGACUGAGACACGGCCCAGACUCCUACGGGAGGCAGCAGUGGGGAAUAUUGGACAAUGGGCGAAAGCCUGAUCCAGCAACGCCGCGUGAGGGAUGACGGCCUUCGGGUUGUAAACCUCUUUCAGCAGGGACGAAGCGAAAGUGACGGUACCUGCAGAAGAAGGACCGGCCAACUACGUGCCAGCAGCCGCCGUAA